rnacentral:rRNA from 1 species
AUUGAACGCUAGCGGCAGGCCUAACACAUGCAAGUCGAACGAGUGGCGGACGGGUGAGUAAUGUCUCGGAAACUGCCCGAUGGAGGGGGAUAACUACUGGAAACGGUAGCUAAUCCCGCAUACCAUCAGCUGUGCCCAGAUGGGAUUAGCUGGUUGGUGGGGUAAAGGCUCACCAAGGCGACGAUCCCUAGCUGGUGUGAGCGGAUGACCAGCCACACUGGAACGGAGACACGGACCAGACUCCUACGGGAGGAAGCAUUGGGGAAUAUUGCACAUUGGGGGCAAGCCUGAUGCAGCCAUGCCGCGUGUAUGAUGAAGGCCUUCGGGUUGUAAAGUACUUUCAGCGGAGAAGCGGUACCCGCAGAAGAAGCACCGGCUAACUCCGUGCCAGCAGCCGCGGUAAUAC